UGAUUUCAGCUUGUGUUCAACUCUAAAUCCUGCUUCUGGAGAUCACCAAACACUGCAUAUUUUGGGUGUCUUUUUAACCUGACACACCUGAAUCAACUCAACAGCUCAUUAAAAGUGUCUCAAUCUACUGAAAUGGUUGUCAAAUUGGGGAAACAACUAAAAAUGGGCCUUUUCAUGAGGCUUCCUUAUCCAGGACGUCUGCUCUGAACCAUCCAACACACCAAAUGUUUCACACUUGAGCGUAGGCUGAAGGAGUUUGAAGAGCGACAGACGGAGCGCAGACAGCUGCUGCUCUGCCUCACACAGGACAUCGGCGGGCACUCUGGUCACCUCAUCUGCAGAACAAAAAACAGAUAGGAGCAUGUCUUAUCAUACGUGGAGCAAAGGUUCCAGACAGCAGAGCUGCUGGAAGGCACUGAUGUCAACUUGUCAGUCAGCUUCACAUUCUGACACGGAGUCUCUCUGAUGGUCCUGCAGUUCACGAGCAUCGCCAACAACGAAUCCAGCCAACACAGGUUGUCCUCAUUUUUCCAGAAGAGAUGAGGUUGCACAGGAACCAGCUCUGAUUCCACAUCUACAUCCAUUCCAACGAUCUCCUCAACCUCAUCUUGAGUACUAGAUACACAAUCAUCCUCCUUGUCACACAAAUCUAAAUCCUCAUGGGUGGCAGCAGCAGUGUCAGCUGGAAGAGUGCUGCCGUUGACAUCAGCACAACAUGGCUCAGGCACAGCAGACAAAAAGCCCAGUUUCUCCUCUCUUGGUCGCUUUGAAGGGGAGGAUGCUUCAUCCACAUCAGAUAGGGAAGAAAUGUUCCU